GAAUCUUUAUUGAUGGAAUCAUAUGAAAAGAUAGAGUACAUCAAUAAAGAGGAGCUCGGAGCUACAUUAAGCCCGGAACUCCAGUUGGAGAGAAUCCAACAUGGAGAGAAAACCAAAAAAACAGAAGCACUAUACACAACAGAACAGCAGCAGAGCAAGCUAGCAGCAUACAACAGAGAAGGCAGCCACAAAACAUAUUUCCAGCAGGUUGAACACCACUCAGCACCGAAAACUGAAACAAAAGCCAAACUAAACCAGCAAACAGACCAUUAAAGAUGUAACUGACCGACACCCAACUGAGAGCAUCAACCCUUCAUCUCCAAUCCUUAGCACCACAGAUCUUCACUGAGAUGAAUCAGCAGGUCGAUCAGCAGAACACUCUGAGAGCCACCUAAACAGCAGAGGAAUUUUUCUACAGAUCAAUAUGUAACAUUGGUUACUGUCUCUGAAUUCAACUUUAAAGUGCCUAUAGAGUAAGUGGAGCACAAAGCAAACUUUCAUCAACCCAACCAACACUAGAACUUAGAAACUAAACUGCAGAACUAAUAUCAAACACAUUCUAACCGCAGAAAACAAAGGUAAAGCUACAACACACACAGCAGAAAACAUACUGCACAGAUACAGACAAAGCUCUGCAGCCUAGCAUCAAGAUCACGCCAACCGAGAGCAGCCUGCAGAAGGUCCCAGUAGUAGUAUUGAUGAUCAAAGUUAACAAAAUUCUAGUUACUCUCAUGUUAUUUAAGUAUUUAUAAGAGAAAUUUGCAUUUUGACCCCUCCAAAAACCUAUAUAAUUUAGGAGAUAAAAGUGAAAUUAAUCCUUUGUUUUUUGGUUAUAUUAAACAUUCUCCAAAUAACAUUGUCGUCGAAACAAGCGUCGCGUUUAUUAAUCAAUGCUAAACUUUUUGCAUAAUGUUGUUUGGUAUUUUUAUUUUUUGAUUGGAUUGAAUUGAAGGCCUUGGUUGUUCUUCUCUUGGCUUUGGUGCAUUUAUGGAGCAUGGCCCAUUCCAGCCGAGGUCAGAUGGGGUCUUGCUGAAAAACAAAUAUUCCUGGAAUUUGGAAUCAAACAUGCUGUAUGUAGAGAGCCCCAUUGGUGUUGGAUUUUCUUACUCAAACACAAGCUCAGAUUACAUCAGUUGGAAUGAUACUCAAACUGCUCAGGACAAUCUGCAAUUCAUUAUUAACUAGUUAGAGACUGAUUUAUAUUUGACUGGGGAGAGUUGUGCAGGUCACUACAUUCCACAGCUUGCAGCAUUAUUGCUAGACUACAACAAACAACCCAACAUCAAACCAGUCAAGCUCAAAGCAAUUGCAUUGGGUAACCCGCUUUUAGAUAUCGAAAUCAGUGUGAAUGAUGCUGAAUAUUUGUGGUCUCGUGGAGUCAUUUCAGAUGAAAUGUUUAUGCUGAAAAACACUGUGUGUAAUGAAUCAAAGUACUUGUUGGAGCUUAUUCAUCACAAUCUGUCAAAGGAAUGCACCAAUGUGUUUCAAAGAAUGCAAGAGGAGAUGGGUAGUGAC